rnacentral:RNase_P_RNA from 1 species
AAAGGGGGCCGGGCAAUCGCCGGUGCAACGGCUGAAAAGCCGCACGGGAGGAAAGUCCGAGCUUCACAGGGCAGGGUGCCGGCUAACGGCCGGUGGGAGCGAUCCUAAGGAAAGUGCUACAGAAACAAACCGCCAACGGCCUCGUUUUUUUUUCAAAAAAGCGCAGGUGCGGGCAAGGAUGCAACGGUGCGGUAAGAGCGCACCAGCAGUCUGGAGACAGGCUGGCUAGGUAAACCCCACCCGAAGCAAGACCGGAUAGGAGUCCACAUGCGCUUGCCCGGCGCGGACUCGGGUUGGUCGCUUGAGCGUGUUGGCAACAACACGCCUAGAAAGAUGGUUGCCACUCCGAGCUCGACUCGGAGGACAAAACUCGGCUUACAGGCCCCGCUUUUCGG